UGACCUCCUUAGGCAGGGAGUCCCCAGGCUGGGCUGGGCUGGAUGAGUAUCUCUCAGAAAGGCUCACCCUGAAGCAUGACUAGGGGU
rnacentral:pre_miRNA from 1 species